rnacentral:lncRNA from 1 species
UUAAUUUUGUCUAUUUCCUGCAGGUGGCAGAUCUCAAGCUGGUGCACUUGACCCUAUGGUGAUGCAUUCCAGGAUUCAGUCCCUGUGGUCGGGACCCGGCCCCUCACCGCUCGAGCGCCUGCUUGAACAGCAGAAGCAGUGGAGAGAUGGCGCUGCACAGUGAAAGCAUUCGGUCCUCCGCCCCCCCCUUUCCAUCUGUGAAGCAAAGCACUUGUUGGGAAUGAGGCUCUUGUCACCGGAAUGCCUAUAUGUUCAGUCGCCCAAGCAGUGUGGCAAGCAAGGCCGCUGGCUGACAGCAGCCAAUGGAGCACUGGCCCUGCCAGCAGAAGGAAACUCUUUUGGCUUUCGGGAAGUGAGCAUCGAGGUGUGACUUGAGUCAGCAGAGCACCCAGGCCUAGCUGAAGUGUGCAAGAUUUGAUGUCUGCAUGCUUCUCAAUCAGUCCUGGACAUGAAGUGCUCGUGAAGGAGUGUUAAUUCGAGUGACGGGCAUCCUUCCUGGCCAUCAUGAGUAGUCAGUGUGGCUCAGGUCGGGUUUGUCAUGUUUUAUUUGCCUCCUUUUCCCAAAGUUUGUGCGCGUACAGCAGGGCCCAUGGGCAGUCUCCAUGGGGGUCUUGUGCUAGACCACGCGUGUUUGCCUGCUACGAACGAGAAUGAAAGAAAAAAUUUCAGAUUUUCUUGUCUUUCUUGUUUGGCUUGGUACCUUUCCAUGUAAGUCUCAAAAGCGCAGUCUUCAACACCAUAGCUGUGCACAUCAAAGACAAGAUUUACUUGGUUUAUGCUUAUCAUUUUUAUGCCUUCCUUAAAUUUCAAGUGCACUAUAUAUUUUUUUUUACAUUAUUUGUGUGGUUCACUGUUUGUGGCUGCAGAAACAGGGUAAACAGGAAAGAAAGGCUAAAGUUGAAGGUGUUGUGAAGCUUAGCUCAGCUCUGCUCUGAGCAAGGCAUAGCUGUGGCUCAUGAAAAUUGUUGCUCAGUUCUGCAGGCCAGUUCAACUAUUGUAGCAGUACAAAUCUUUAGUAUCAGGUUUUAGCUAUCUCACCUGAAACACUGGACAAAAAAUGGCAAAAGGUUUUGUUCAGCCAUGCCUUUUGUUUUAUUCGAACCUGAACCUUUUGUGAAUGUUUUUAGCAUUUGUUACGCAUACUUUCCUGUGCGUGCAUGUGUUUGAACACUUGUAAUACAGCAUAACUGAGACGCCAGAAAGAGAGACACUGUUUUUUGUAGGCUUCUUUUUUUUUUUUUUUUUGCCUUCGAGCACAGUGGUACGGUUCAGUGCACAAGAUUUAGGAAACAUCGUAUAUGCCAAACAGUAAAUUCUUUUUGUGCCAUAUCUCCAUGCACUUGCUGCUUUUAAGACUCAAGGGUUGCCCUCCAGUUUUUCUUUCUUUCUUUUUUUUUUUUCCAUAGGAUUGGGUCAAAGGGAUUCUUGUCAUGCAUGCACGUACAGAUAUACUGCAAUUUCUUUUGUACAAGCAGCAUUGCUGUUGCCACAGCUUUGUCUGCAAUGUCCUUGUUUUCUGGUCAGCAGGCUUCUGUAUUGUGUCUGUUAUUUGUCUCAGUUGUUUAUAAGGGCAUUGCAUUGCCUAUGUGAGUGUAUGCGUUAUCUUCAGUGAGCUCGGAAAGCACACAGUGAUUUGCCAGCUGUGCAAAAGGCUCUACAUUUCAGUCCUUAAGGUUUUAUGGCAAAUGGUACUUUGAGUUUUUCAUAUACAUAGGUCAUUGCUGAUCAGAUCAAGUAAAGGGCAGCUGGUUGACAUCUUUGUUUGUUUGCUAAUUUUGUUGGUCAUUGCUUAAAAAGUUAUUCAAACGAUUUAUUGCUCAUUUUCAUCUGUAGAUUACGUGGGCACAAGUGGGCACUUUUUGUGCACUUGUUGCUCAUCUCGGACACAGUGCUUGGCCAUGACAGCUCCAGCUUGAUGUAAAUUGCGCCACAAUGCACCAAAACGAGCCUAGAAAUUUUAUCGCAUCUGCAGUUCAUGCAACCCUCACAGGAAGGUAUGUUCUUACACACAAGUAGAGGUCAGCAUCAUACAAUUGAAAAUUGUGGUCACUGGCGUAAAGCAAGACAAACAAAGUAUGAGUAUUCUAAGAUGGCUUUAUGUUUUUCAUAGUGUCGAAUGUUAUCUAAUGUGUAAGUGAAAAGUGAUUAAUUAUAUGUACGUACUCUCUCCAUAUAUGAUUUUGUAUGUUUUUGACUCAAAGCACUUCUAAUGAAUAGUGUUUUUGUGGAACAACAGAUCAUUCAGCUGUAAUAUGCCGACACCAGCGCAUUGUCAAAAAGUAAAUUUAAUGAAAGUUCUAUCCAGCUAGUUGCAAAGAGGUGUGUGUUUUUGGCCAAGUGUUGUAUUCUUUUGGAAUAAAGUAUAAAUUGAUGGCAGCAACUGCAAAAGCCAAUUUGUAAUAUUCUGUAUACCUUAGUAUUUUUAGACAGAUUUACUUAAGGUGUAUUCAAAUGGUCGCUUUUAGAUUCUUUAGAGCUCUUUGAAAAGUGGUGGUGUGUUUCGGUGGUUGAAUUUAAGCGCUCCAGCAAUGUUGGGUAGGUUCUCUUGGACUGUGAACCUCCAACUCUGAGUGCUCCCAACUGCUCCGAUUUCAAAUUGUGAGCAUUUGCACGACCUGACUGAGGGGCUUGGGUAGCGUGUGGCAGCUUCCAAUUGCUACUGCAUUAUUGCUGAGUGACACAGCAUCAACUGCAGCAGCAGGAAAUGGUGGAAUCAGUCUUUGCUUCAUCUCGCCUCACGUUGAGGACGAAUUAUUUGAACGUUUUCAUCAUUAUAUGAGUUGUUUUUAUGGAUCCGAAACACCUCCCCUGAAAUUUUGUUUUCUACCUACCUGGUGACAUGACAGCAAGUAAUCUUGCAGCCGAUGAUGGCAUAUAAAACUAGAUCUCCGGAAAAAACAUCAGCCUGGCGACGCUUUUGCAAUUUCUUUUAUAACAGCGAAGCUGUUUGUGGCUAGGUUCUGGCAGAUCACGUCCGCGGACAAAAUGCAUAGAACAAGAUCUCGUCUGGUGACAAAACAAUGCGCAGAACAACAAUUUUCGGCGGCGGGUAUAUGUCGGUUUAUAACACUUUCUGUGAAGGCUAGGUUGAAUAUUGUAGUGGAAAGAAAGACCUCUGCAGGACAUGAUGCAAAAUCCCCCUGGUGCCCUCUUGUACAAGUUUCGCCACGUCAGUCAAGUCUAGGCACUGCAUUGGCACGGUCGUCACGAACAAAUAUGGGACAGCCACGCAUUUUGGAGCUCCUCGGGUGUUGACACAAUGCGCGGCUCACGUCGGCGCUUUGAAGGACGCGGACGACAGCGGACAGGAGUGCGUCCUCAAUAUAGUCGAUGAUGAUAAUAUAAGUUCACUAUAGCAAUAUUCACUAAAGCAGACCCACCAUAGUCACAGCUUUGCUGGCUUCGAUCUUCACAGUAGUGGAAGGGCUCUGAACUUUUACGGGCAUGUCAUUGCAGUUAUUCAGGCAGCAAAAAAACAUCUCUUACAUUUUUUCAUGUCGCUUGCAUGUAGUGGCACCGCAGUGCAACAGCGUGGGAUUUAUGAAGCAAAAGAUCUACGACAGAGUUUGCAUGUUGCAUUGAUGGUCAUUUAGAUAUCUUGUGCAUGCGGUUUAAAGAGAUGACUGUGUUCACACAUGUCUGAGCAGGAGGCUGCCAUUUCUCAAUUGUCGCACACAAAUGUUUGCAAACAGUUCUGUGCCGAGCACGUCGUGGUGCUGCAGGUGCAUUGCUCCUGCUGAAACUGUGCGUCUGGCACUCCUAUUGCAGGCUGCCCACGCAUCCACCUUCUCUGAACCAGAGCGACCAACCGAAUACACCAUUACGUCUCGCAAAAAAGAAAAGCUUGUUUGGUUCAUACUCAAACUUGGCCACUACUGCACUUCACAUAGAUGCACCAGUCUCUUUGCUUGUGAUAUGUAGUUUUUUUUUUGUAGUUAACAAGUUUUCAGAGUGAAAGUGAGGGCACACCAAUUUAGACUGGUCGGUAGACAGGGACACCUAAAAAUAUGACAAUGAAAUGUCAGCCAGCUGUCCUUUGUUUCAUCUUAUCCAAAAUAAUCCUCAUGCUCCUCUCAUGUGAUCACUUAGUUGAGAGUGUGCUUUGUUUAAAACUUCAGAAUGUAAGCACUAUAACUUUUUUAGUCAACUAAAUGAAAACCCAUGUUAUUGUUCCUGCAGGAUCAGUCAGUCUCUAUACCAUUUUUUUUUUCUUAGAAACUACUGUAUUUUUUUUUUCAAUAUUGUGGAGCAAUGUUUCUGUUGAGCAGCAUAACUAAAAUGUUUUGAAGUUAUGGUUCCUGCCUGAUGUUGGGUUUCAAAGUACCCUUGCAACAUCCAAAUAAACUUUUCCUUCACUA